rnacentral:rRNA from 1 species
UGCUAGUCGUGUGACUCAGGCAAAACGAGUCACGGCACACAGCUCAGUAACACGUGGCUAAUCUGCCCUUAGGACGAGAACAACCCCGGGAAACUGGGGCUAACUCUUGAUAGGUGAAGAACUCUGGAAUGAGUCUUUGCCUAAAUAGAUUCACGUUAUCCUCGUGAAUCUGCCUAAGGAUGAGGCCGCGACCGAUCAGGUUGUUGGCGAGGUAAUGGCUCACCAAGCCUUUUACCGGUGCGGGCCGUGGGAGCGGGAGCCCGGAGAUGGGUACUGAGACAAGGACCCAGGCCCUACGGGGCGCAGCAGUCGCGAAACCUUUGCAAUAAGCGAAAGCUUGACAGGGCUAUCCCGAGUGCCAUCCGCUGAGGAAGGCUUUUACCCAGUCUAGAACGCUGGGGGAAUAAGGAGAGGGCAAGUCUGGUGUCAGCCGCCGCGGUAAUACCAGCUCUUCGAGUGGUGUGGAUGUUUAUUGGGCCUAAAGCAUCCGUAGCUGGCUAGGUCAGUCCCUUGUUAAAUCCACCGAAUUAAUCGUUGGAUCGCGGGGGAUACUGCUUGGCUAGGGGACGAGAGAGGCAGACGGUAUUUUCGGGGUAGGGGUGAAAUCCUAUAAUCCCGGGAAGACCACCAGUGGCGAAGGCUGUCUGCUAGAACGCGCCCGACGGUGAGGGAUGAAAGCUGGGGGAGCGAACCGGAUUAGAUACCCGGGUAGUCCCAGCUGUAAACGAUGCAGACUAGGUGUUUGAACGGCCACGUGCCGUUCUAGUGCCGCAGGGAAGCUGUUAAGUCUGCCGCCUGGGGAGUACGAUCGCAAGAUUGAAACUUAA